CUUGUGUGCAAAAAGAGGACAGAAAAUGAUAUUUUUUCAUGAGAAAAAUAGUUCAAAAUAAUUUCUUCUGGGCAUUCUCUAGAGUUGAGCAGUCCAAUGACACCAAUUAGAAAGGAGCUGCAAUGGAAAUGGAAACAUACAACGUAAAAUGGGAUCUUGUGUUAUAUAGCCACUCAAUAUGCAUUAGAAGAAUUACAAAAGGAGUGAUUUAUUUCUCUCACUGCCUUUGCAAGGGACAGAUGUAAGCUCUCUUGCUGUGUUUGUAGGCCUUUCCCGGGAACUCAAAGCUUGCUGCUUCUCAGACUUUACUGUUGAUGGUACCGCAGCCCGUUGUCAUGGAAAUGAUGAUAGCGCCCUGGCAAUUCCUUACUCCAUCCACAUCACCAGGCUGCAUCAAGGGUCUGAUUGCAUUGCAACAGAUGCCAAGAAAAGCAAUCCCGGGAGCCCAAGUGCCAUGGUGGGUGCAGGAGGAUCCCUUCUGUGGGAUGCUACUGGGUGGGAUGGAGAAGCUUUGAAAGGAUCUCUAGAGCAAGAAGAUGCAUUCCUCAUGGAAAGGGCAAGCAAGAAAAAAAAAAAAAACAACAAAUGAACAUCAAGCUGCACAAGAGAACAAAACAAACAGCAGCUGCAGAGAAUAGAAUGCCAAAGGCUUAAACUGUGAGGUCCUAGCACAGAGUACCCAGAUGCUUAGAUUCAUCUUGGUUCCCAGCACAUAUUUUUGCACAAGAGUGAACAAACAAGCCACUUGAAGAAAACUUAAGAGCAUCCUUGGAAUUAUUUUCCUAUUCACGUGAAGCAAGUACAAGUAAAAAAAGUUGUUUUUUUCUUAGCUACAAAGAAAAAGUAUGGUGCAAAAAUUAUGUUGUAUCUUUUAUUUUGAGCCCUAAUUGUGGCCCCAUGUAUAGAAAAGUUAUGAAACCACAGCAUAACUUCCAAGUAAUAUGAAUUGUGAAUUAUAGGCUCCUGCUUGGUGUACUUUGAAGAUUUGCUAUUUUGUGUACAGACCUUCCACUUUCUGCUGAAAACAGCAAAAGAAAUGUCUGUGAAGUCAAGUCCUUAAAAUCACAAUCCUUAAAGUAAAGUUUAGUUUUCCAUAUUUUAAUUAGAUAUCACCAUUUUGGGUUCUAGUUGUUUGCUUCUGUGGAAUAACUUAUAGCAACAGACAAUCUUUAACACAAUCCUACCUAGAUCCAUUGUGGUCAUGGUUAAUGAUUUCAGUGUUAUGUUGAAAAAUUUUUGAGUUGAAAAAAAAAGCCAAGUGAUUAGGGAUACUGACACUCAGCUUGGAAAUGUCAUAGGGGUCUAUUUAAAGUCAUAUCUGAUGGCACUCCUGUGUGUGUG
rnacentral:lncRNA from 1 species